AAAAAAUAAAUCCAUUAACUCAUAUGUUUGUAAAUUUUGUAAGGAGUGCAUAUGGCCUGAUGUUCCUUGUGUGUAUCAUGAGGAUUUGGGAGCAUCGGCGACAGACAAUUAACUAGCUAAUUGUCGUCUCUCAGCUCUGAACGGUACAUCAUGUGUGGCAACUUCAGGUAUUGUUUCUAAUUGACCACGAAAUGCCCCGGUACAUGAUGUGUGGCAAAAAUAAUUUAGGUACUGAUUCUAACUGAGUGUGCAUCUCUACUGACAGCUUUGUACCAGGGAGUGAGGAUAUGCAGAUUUUCG
rnacentral:lncRNA from 1 species